GCUUCCGUAGCUCAGUCGGUAGAGCGCCAGACUGUUAAUCUGUAGGUCCUGGGUUCAACCCCCAGUGGGAGCG